UUUUAGAUUUCUAAACCGAAUCUUGUUGCGAGUUCUUCUCCUACCCAUCCGCGUCUCGGGGCUUGGAAUCGAAUCCUCGCCAAGUUCGGAUCAACGAACUGCCCUCAUAAGCCCGCGUCCCCUCCUUCCUCGCGUCGACGCCGCACCGCACCGCAUCUCCGCUCGCCGCCGCCGACGACGACGAGAUGCUUUCCCGGAUUCUGCAUGGCUAUGGAGGACACGGCGGGAGAGGCUUCGAGCAGACGUACCGGUGCUACUCGGCGGCGGCCUUCAACAAGCCGCAGCUCGAAGGCGGAGACAAGGUGAUCAUGCCGGCGUCGGCGCUCCACCGCCUCGCCUCCCUCCACAUCGACUACCCGAUGCUGUUCGAGCUCUCCCACCACGGCGACGCCGCCGCCCACCGGGUCACCCACUGCGGCGUGCUGGAGUUCGUCGCCGACGAGGGCACGGUGAUCAUGCCGCGGUGGAUGAUGCGCGGCAUGCGCCUCGACGACGGCGGCCUCGUCGUCGUCAGGAGCGCCAGCCUCCCCAAGGGCAGCUACGCCAAGCUGCAGCCUCACACCGGCGACUUCCUCGACACGGCGAACCCCAAGGCCGUCCUGGAGAAGACGCUGCGCAGCUUCACCUGCCUCACCACCGGCGACACCAUCAUGGUGGCCUACAACAACAAGGAGUUCCUCAUCGACAUCGUCGAGACGAAGCCCGCCUCGGCCGUCUGCAUCAUCGAGACGGAUUGCGAGGUCGAUUUCGCACCUCCACUCGAUUACAAAGAACCUGAAAAGGUUCAGCAGAAACCAUCUGUUCCUUCAAGCAAGGCGGCUUCCGAAGAUCAAGAUCAAAUCAAAGAUGAGCCAGAAUUCAGAGCAUUCACUGGUUCAGGGAAUCGUUUGGAUGGUAAGGCCUCAAAACCGCUAGCAGCAGGGAUCUCUUCUAAUCCUGCUGCUGCAAGUUCUGCAAUUUCAGACUCGAACAAGAAGGUGAAUCAGGAGACAGCAGCAUCAGGAGUUAGCAACUCUACACGUCAGAAAAAGGGGAAGCUUGUUUUUGGUUCAAACAAAAGCAGCAGCAGCAGCAAAGAACCAGAGAAGGCUCCUCCUGUUAAAGUUGAUGAACUUGCAAAGAAGGAAGAGCCCAAGUUCCAAGCAUUUUCUGGGACGAGCUACUCGUUGAAACGUUAGCUGCUGCUAUUAGGGUUAAAAGUUUUGGAAUCAAUCAUUUGUUUCUUACUUGGAGUUCGCCUGGUUACUCUGGCAGCUGUAAAUGAUUGGUAGCAAUGUGUAUCUUUAUCAUUUUCAGUUCUCCCUUAAUAAUUCUAGUUAUUGUCUUGCUAAUUAAAAGAAUUCCGUGGAUUACAUGGAACCUGAUACUAUUUGCUUGACCAUAUGUGGAGUUUUCUUGCAAUGUCAAGCAGAACGCAUUGCUAAUGUACUCAACCAACUCCCUACCUAGAGAAGAUUCUAACUGAAUCUACCCUCAACCAACCUGCUUCUCCAUCAGUUAAUUAUGAUCACAAAAAUGAGGUGAUGUACAACAUUUCUUGGUCCUCCUCCUCUAGGAUAUUUCUUUGCUGUGCUUAUAUGAGCAGGUUGAUUUGCUUCAGAGUUCAACAUCAUCACUUCCAGUUUGAGAAAAUGGUGAUCUCAUCCAAGGGCAAAGUGUGUGUAACUGGUGCUUCAGGCUUCGUCGCCUCUUGGCUCAUCAAGAGGCUUCUUGAGGCGGGCUAUCAUGUGAUAGGAACUGUGAGAGACCCAAGCAAUCGCGAUAAAGUGUCACACCUUUGGAGAUUACCAAGUGCAAAGGAGAGGCUGCAACUUGUGAGAGCUGAUCUGAUGGAAGAAGGGAGCUUUGACGAUGCUGUGAUGGCUUGCGAAGGCGUCUUCCACACUGCAUCGCCUGUCCUUGCCAAAUCUGAUUCCAAUUGCAAGGAAGAAAUGCUUGUUCCUGCGAUAAAUGGUACUCUGAAUGUGCUGAAAUCUUGCAAGAAGAAUCCAUUUCUGAAAAGGGUUGUUCUUACAUCCUCAUCAUCCACGGUAAGAAUCAGGGAUGAGAGUAAACAUCCAGAAAUCUCACUGGAUGAAACAAUAUGGAGCUCUGUGGCACUCUGUGAAAAGCUACAGCUAUGGUAUGCCCUGGCAAAGAUAUCUGCAGAGAAAGCGGCAUGGGAGUUUGCCAAGGAGAACAACAUUGACCUUGUAACUGUUCUUCCAUCAUUUGUGAUUGGGCCCAGUUUAUCACAUGAACUGUCUGUCACUGCUUCAGACAUCCUUGGCUUACUUCAAGGUGACACAGAUAGAUUCAUCUCGUAUGGGAGAAUGGGAUAUGUUCACAUCGACGAUGUGGCGAGCUGCCACAUUCUGGUGUACGAAGCACCUCAGGCUACUGGGAGAUAUCUCUGCAACUCCGUUGUUCUUGACAACAACGAAUUAGUCGCCUUGCUUGCGAAGCAAUUUCCAAUUUUUCCCAUCCCAAGGAGCUUGAGGAACCCAUAUGAGAAACAGUCAUAUGAGCUAAACACAUCCAAGAUCCAGCAGCUGGGUUUCAAGUUCAAAGGGGUGCAAGAGAUGUUUGGUGAUUGUGUCGAGUCGCUGAAAGAUCAGGGACACUUGCUGGAGUGCCCGUUGUAACGAAAAAAAGGGAUCUUUGGCACGGUACCAACAAGCUCAUGGCCAAGCACACACUUGAAUUGUUCUGACUUUGAUUCGACACUUCGCAUGCCACUGCGUUUCUCUUGUAAUAAUUCGCAUGUCAUUCCCUCACCAAACGACAAAUAAAUUGUCAAUUUGUUGCUCAGUCUUCACAGACCAUAUGCUUAAAUGUAAUGCUCUGCUUGCUUUCA